UACGGGGGGGAGCAAGCGUUGUUCGGAUUUACUGGGCGUAAAGGGCGCGUAGGCGGCCACUGCAAGUCAGUUGUGAAAUCUCCGGGCUUAACUCGGAAAGGUCAACUGAUACUGCAGGGCUAGAGUGCAGAAGGGGCAACUGGAAUUCUCGGUGUAGCGGUGAAAUGCGUAGAUAUCGAGAGGAACACCUGCGGCGAAGGCGGGUAGCUGGGCCGACACUGACGCUGAUGCGCGAAAGCCAGGAGAGCGAACGGG
rnacentral:rRNA from 1 species